rnacentral:tRNA from 1 species
GUUCCGAUAGUUCAAUCGGGUAAUUGACGACCUCUGCGGCGCGACGGGCGAAGGUUCGCCUGCGACGCAGGGGGUUGCGGGUUCGAUUCCCGCCUCGGAACA